CAUAACAACUACAUAAAAUGCAAAUAACCCUCAUAGGCUAGCCUAAAAGGAAAGGGAAUUGUUUUUGUUUCCCCUUUCCUGGACUACAGCGUCCUUUUUGAGAUGGGGUGAGACUAUCUUGUAGGUGGAGCUUCCUUCAGCUGCUCAGAGACAACCCAAAUUCCUAGACCGGAGCCAGCGAUUAAACAUCUCUGCUAGUCAUCACUGGGUGAGGGUGUGAGAGAGAGGAAUAUCUUGAUACCUCUGUACAAAUUUAAGGGUCUCAUUCCACACAAAACAUGUUAACAACCCCAGUUUGGGUUGCACAGGGAGGACUACUGAACUCCUGUUUCUAAGAGAGCUUUGUUGCGUUCAUAUAGACAGAACCAGACUGCUGGUGCCAGGGAAGGAAGCCGAUAUAUUACAGUCACAUAAAAGCCACAUUCGACACUUGCAAAGAGCUCAGAGAUGUGGAUCAACUGGUGCGUGGCUAUGUGCUUCUUAAAAUUCAGAUUCUCAAAUGCUGAGAUCACCCAGCCAUGGAGCUUGGUGCUGCAGGAAAACAAAACUGCACGGAUUGUGUGCGAACAAAAAUAUCAGCACAACAUCAUGCUCUGGUACCGCCAGGGUGCUGAGCCAGGUCUGCAGCUCCUCUUCCACUACUAUUAUGCCCAGCAACAGCCUGCAGGCAAUGUUUCUGACCGGUUCACAGCUGAUAUGCCCAACGCUGAUCGCUUGAUCCUGAAUAUUUCCCCUGCAAAGCCAGAAGAUUCAGCUGUGUAUUUCUGUGCGUCAGCAGAAACACAGCAGUUCAAAGUUACCUCUCCUUCCUACAAAAUCCUCUGUGUGUCCUCAUCACUCUGCCUGUGUGGGCAACUGUGCUUGAGUAGUACGAUUCAAUUUACCGUGUAUGGACCUGUUGUGUAUUGAGUCAAAGGAUUUUAUAUCUGUAUUACUAUUGUCUGCAUUUGCAUUAGGGUAAAGUAACUGCCUUUUGGUUCCAGAAGGUACAGCUACUAUUGGUUCAUUUAAGCUGCUGUUUUUGGAUCCUCUGUCUUAUUGGUUUCCUCCAAAAGGCAGCACUGUGAUUGCCUGAUAUUGUUCCUUCCAAAAUGCAGUGGUACCUUGGUUUACAAACACAAUUGGUUCCGGAAGUCUGUACUUAACCUGAAGCGAACUUUCCCAUUGAAAGUAAUGGAAAGUGGAUUAAUCUGUUCCAGACGGGUCCGCGGAGUACUCAACCUGAAGCGUACUUAACCCGAAGUAUGAGUGUAACUGGUUCCGGAAGUCUGUACUUAACCUGAAGCGUACUUAACCAGAAGCGAACUUUCCUAUUGAAAGUAAUGGAAAGUGGAUUAAUCCAUUCCAGACAUGUCCGCGGAGUACAUAAACUGAAAGUACUCAAACCGAGGCGUACUUAAACCGAGGUAUGACUGUGUAUCCCUUUCUAGCUAGUCCCCUGUCCCUAUAAAUGUAGCUUUCCUCUCCUCAGAGUUCAGUCUUGUUUACUUUAAUAAAGAAGUGUAACUAGAGAACUGUCUCCAGCAUAUUAUGUCAAGA